rnacentral:rRNA from 1 species
CAGAGACUGCAAGCGUUAUUCGGAUUCACUGGGCGUAAAGGGUGCGCAGGCGGUUGGGUGUGUCAGAUGUGAAAUCCCGAGGCUUAACCUCGGAACUGCGUCUGAAACUACUCGACUAGAGUACUGGAGAGGGUAACGGAAUUCACGGUGUAGCAGUGAAAUGCGUAGAUAUCGUGAGGAACACCAGAGGCGAAGGCGGUUACCUGGACAGUUACUGACGCUCAGGCACGAAAGCAUGGGGAGCAAAAGGGAUUAGAUACCCCUGUAGUCCAUGCCCUAAACGGUGCACACUAGGUCUUAGCGGAUUCGACCCCACUAGGGCCCAAGCUAACGCGUUAAGUGUGCCGCCUGAGGACUACGGUCGCAAGACUA